rnacentral:rRNA from 1 species
GUGGGGAAUAUUGGACAAUGGGCGCAAGCCUGAUCCAGCAAUGCCGCGUGAGUGAUGAAGGCCUUAGGGUUGUAAAGCUCUGUUAGGGGGAAAGAAGGGUUCACUUCGGUGAACAUUGACGGUACCCCCAAAGAAAGCACCGGCUAACUCUGUGCCAGCAGCCGCGGUAAUACAGAGGGUGCAAGCGUUGUUCGGAAUUACUGGGCGUAAAGCGCGUGUAGGCGGUUUGUUAAGUUGGACGUGAAAUCCCUCGGCUCAACCGAGGAACUGCAUCCAAAACUGGCAGACUAGAGUAUCGGAGGGGAAGGCGGAAUUCCCGGUGUAGAGGUGAAAUUCGUAGAUAUCGGGAGGAACACCCGUGGCGAAGGCGGCCUUCUGGAAGAUAACUGACGCUGAGACGCGAAAGCGUGGGGAGCAAACAGG